GUGAACGCUGGCGGUAGGCCUAACACAUGCCAGUCGAACGGCAGCACAGUAAGAGCUUGCUCUUACGGGUGGCGAGUGGCGGACGGGUGAGGAAUACAUCGGAAUCUACUUUUUCGUGGGGGAUAACGUAGGGAAACUUACGCUAAUACCGCAUACGACCUACGGGUGAAAGCAGGGGAUCUUCGGACCUUGCGCGAUUGAAUGAGCCGAUGUCGGAUUAGCUAGUUGGCGGGGUAAAGGCCCACCAAGGCGACGAUCCGUAGCUGGUCUGAGAGGAUGAUCAGCCGCACUGGAACUGAGACACGGUCCAGACUCCUACGGGAGGCAGCAGUGGGGAAUAUUGGACAAUGGGCGCAAGCCUGAUCCAGCCAUACCGCGUGGGUGAAGAAGGCCUUCGGGUUGUAAAGCCCUUUUGUUGGGAAAGAAAAGCAGCAGGUUAAUACCCCGCUGUUCUGACGGUACCCAAAGAAUAAGCACCGGCUAACUUCGUG
rnacentral:rRNA from 1 species